CACCGCGGUAAUUCCAGCUCCAAUAGCGUAUAUUAAAGUUGCUGCAGUUAAAAAGCUCGUAGUUGAAUUUCGGGACCAUCAUGUCGGUCGUGCCUCGGUACGUACUGGCAUUGUUGGUUUCUCCCUUCUGACGAACCAUGAUGUCAUUUAUUUGGUGUUGUGGGAAAUCAGGACUGUUACUUUGAAAAAAUUAGAGUGUUUAAAGCAGGCUCACGCUUGAAUACAUUAGCAUGGAAUAAUGAAAUAGGACGUUUGAUUCUAUUUUGUUGGUUUCUAGGAUCGACGUAAUGAUUAAUAGGGAUAGUUGGGGGCAUUAGUAUUCAAUUGUCAGAGGUGAAAUUCUUGGAUUUAUUGAAGACUAACUACUGCGAAAGCAUUUGCCAAGGAUGUUUUCAUUAAUCAAGAACGAAAGUUAGGGGAUCGAAGACGAUCAGAUACCGUCGUAGUCUUAACCAUAAACUAUGCCGACUAGGGAUCGGAUGAUGUUAAUUUUUUAAUGACUCAUUCGGCGCCUUACG
rnacentral:misc_RNA from 1 species